ACGGAAGGCAGCAGUGGGGAGUGUUGCACAAUGGGGGAAACCCUGAUGCAGCAACGCCGCGUGAGUGAUGAAGUAUUUCGGUAUGUAAAACUCUAUCAGCAGGGAAGAAACAAGACGGUACCUGACUAAGAAGCACCGGCUAAAUACGUGCCAGCAGCCGCGGUAAUACGUAUGGUGCAAGCGUUAUCCGGAUUUACUGGGUGUAAAGGGAGCGCAGGCGGCCCUGCAAGCCAGAGGUGAAAACCCGGGGCUCAACCCCGCGGAUUGCCUUUGGAACUGUAAGGCUUGAGUACUGGAGGGGCAGGCGGAAUUCCUGGUGUAGCGGUGAAAUGCGUAGAUAUCAGGAGGAACACCGGUGGCGAAGGCGGCUUGCUGGACAGAAACUGACGCUGAGGCUCGAAAGCGUGGGGAGCAAACAGGAUUAGAUACCCUGGUA
rnacentral:rRNA from 1 species